rnacentral:rRNA from 1 species
GUAUUUUGACCGUGCAAAGGUAGCGCAAUCACUUGUCUUUUAAAUGAAGACCUGUAUGAAUGGUGGAACGAGGGCUUAACUGUCUCCCCCUUCUAGUCAAUGAAAUUGAUCUACCCGUGCAGAAGCGGGUAUAAUAAUACAAGACGAGAAGACCCUUUGGAGCUUAAGACAAAAAACCAACUAUGUCAAAAGUCCUAAAAAAGACUAAACUAAAUAAUACUGGUUUUAAUCUUCGGUUGGGGUGACCACGGGAGAAAACAAAGCUCCCAUGCGGACUGGGGUAAUCCCCUAAAACUAAGAGAGACAUCUCUAAGACGCAGAACAUCUGACCAUAAAGAUCCGGCUACAUGCCGACCAACGGACCAAGUUACCCUAGGGAUAACAGCGCAAUCCCCUUCCAGAGUCCAUAUCGACAAGGGGGUUUACGACCUCGAUGUUGGAUCAGGACAUCCU